UGGUACCUCCAUUUCCUCAUAAUGGGCAGUUCACGUACCCCCCCGUCGGGUCACCCCCACCCCAGCCCUGCUGAAUCAGAAACUCGGGGGCGAAGAUCAGGAGUCUGUGUGCUAACGCGUCCUCCAGGGGAUUCUCAAGUGCCUCCAGUUUGAGAACCACUAAAACAAGUGAGACUUGGGAAUGCUGUGCACCCACACUUUGCUGAAAUUUCAAGAAGAGUUCCUGGGCCUCCCAGACAGAGUUGAAGCAGAAGGUUUUCACCAUAGUGUUGAUUUUUGAUAGAUUUUUAAAGGGGAAGGAGCAACAAAAAUCUGUUCCACCAUUCCCUCUGUCCCUUAAAAAGACACGUAAAGGGGCUGGCCCCGUGGCCGAGUGGUUAAGUUCGAGUGCUCCGCUUCGGUGGCCCAGGGUUUCGCCGGUUCGAAACCUGGGCGCGGACAUGUCACCGCUCAUCAGGCCAUGCUGAGACAGCGUCCCACAUGCCACAACUAGAAGGACCCACAACUAAAAAUACACAACUAUUUAUCAGGGGGCUUUGGGGAGGAAAAGGAAAAAUAAAAAGACGCAUAAAGAACCUCAUACAGACCAAAGAGUUUGAAAUUGCUAUUUUAAAAGGCAUAGCAGAAAAGAGAGUUUUGGUAGAAAAAUGGAUCAAAAUAAAUAAGCAGUGAAAUCUAAUUCUGACAUAGCUUCCAGCUGUCUGGCAUACUGGUUGAGUUUUGAAGACCUGGGCCACUGUUCCUCUUUGCUGGGGGUGACACACGGGCCAGAAGCAGGGAGACCUAAGGCUGAGGCCCAAAGGAAGGUGAAAGGUGGCCUCAGGUCUUGGAAGCUCUGCCGUCUUGGCAGAGCAGAUUGGGGCACAGCGGAGCCCAGGGCGGGGUGCUGGCCGGCUGUCCACCAGUCACAGUCUCAGGUGAAUGGAAUGAAGAGGGGGCCACUGGGAAACGCAGGAGCUGCUGCCACAACUGUGCGGGAUACCUGCGGCCUGCUCUGGGCCUCCUCUCCCUGGCCUUGUCCCCUUGCAACUCUGUUUUACAGUUGACGAAGCAGAGGUUCAGGAAGAGCCUGGUCCUCUCUUUCCAGAGCCUCAGGUCUUUAUGCUCCAGAACGAAGACAGUGACCUCACUACCCUGCUGGUAUUUGUGUACCAGGCACUGGGCGUGUUUCUUCUCAUUUAACCACAGAGCAGCCCUGGGAAAGGAAGCACUGUUAUCAUUCCCAUUUUUCAGGUGAGGAACAGGUUCAGAAAGGUCAAGAAACUUGCUUCAGGUCUCAAGCUGGCAAGUGGACUCUCUGGCUCCAGAGAGGUCUG
rnacentral:lncRNA from 1 species